AUAUACAACAGAAUAGCUGGCUACGAUCCGAGAAAAACCAAUACUAAAAAUGUACUAAAUUAAACUUUAUUACUUUAGUACAUUUUUAGUAUUGGUUUCUCUCGGAUCGUAGCCAGCUAUUCUGU